rnacentral:rRNA from 1 species
UACGAAGGGGGCUAGCGUUGCUCGGAAUUACUGGGCGUAAAGGGCGCGUAGGCGGCGCUGUUAGUCAGGCGUGAAAUUCCUGGGCUUAACCUGGGGACUGCGCUUGAUACGGCAGUGCUAGAGGGUGGAAGAGGGUCGCGGAAUUCCCAGUGUAGAGGUGAAAUUCGUAGAUAUUGGGAAGAACACCGGUGGCGAAGGCGGCGACCUGGUCCAUUACUGACGCUGAGGCGCGACAGCGUGGGGAGCAAACGGG